rnacentral:rRNA from 1 species
UUGACCUCAAAUCAGGUAGGAAUACCCGC